AGUGAACGCUGGCGGCGUGCCUAAUACAUGCCAGUCGAACGGAGAUUAAGUAGCUUGCUAUUUAAUCUUAGUGGCGCACGGGUGAGUAAUAUAUAGCUAACUUGCCCAUUACUAAGGGACAACAGUUGGAAACGACUGCUAAUACCUUAUACUCCGUAUCUAUAUAAGUAGAUACGGGAAAGUUUUUCGGUAAUGGAUAGGGCUAUAUCGUAUCAGCUAGUUGGUAAGGUAAUGGCUUACCAAGGCUAUGACGCGUAACUGGUCUGAGAGGAUGAUCAGUCACACUGGAACUGAGACACGGUCCAGACUCCUACGGGAGGCAGCAGUAGGGAAUAUUGCUCCAUGGGGGAAACCCUGAAGCAGCAACGCCGCGUGGAGGAUGACACUUUUCGGAGCGUAAACUCCUUUUCUUGGGAAAGAAUUAUGACGGUACCCAAGGAAUAAGCACCGGCUAACUCCGUG
rnacentral:rRNA from 1 species